ACGACGCUGGCGGCGUGCUUAACACAUGCAAGUCGAACGGAGAUUAUUAAUGAAGCUUGCGAUUUAAUAAUCUUAGUGGCGGACGGGUGAGUAACGCGUGGGCAACCUACCCAUAAGCGGGGGAUAACAGUUGGAAACGACUGCUAAUACCGCAUAAGCUAUAGAGGUCGCAUGACCUAAAUAGUAAAGGUGGCAUUUAAAGAUGCUAUCACUUAUGGAUGGGUUCGCGUCCUAUCAGCUGGUUGGUGGGGUAACGGCCUACCAAGGCGAAGACGGGUAGCCGGUCUGAGAGGAUGGCCGGCCACACUGGAACUGAGACACGGCCCAGACUCCUACGGGAGGCAGCAGUGGGGAAUAUUGCGCAAUGGGGGAAACCCUGACGCAGCGACGCCGCGUGAGCGAAGAAGGCCUUAGGGUCGUAAAGCUCUGUUGUAAGGGACGAAUGUUUAUCUGGCGAACAGUCAGAUAAAGUGACGGUACCUUACCAGCAAGCCCCGGCUAACUACGUG
rnacentral:rRNA from 1 species